AACAAACGCUGGCGGCGUGCCUAAUACAUGCAAGUCGAACGGGGAAAGCUUUCGGGUGAGUACUAGUGGCGCACGGGUGAGUAACGCGUGGAUAAUCUGCCUUAGAGUGGGGGAUAACCAGUCGAAAGAUUGGCUAAUACCGCAUAAGACCACAGGAGCUGCGGCUCUAGAGGUCAAAGGUUUUUCGCUCUAAGAUGAGUCCGCGUAAGAUUAGCUAGUUGGUGAGGUAAUGGCUCACCAAGGCGACGAUCUUUAACUGGUCUGAGAGGAUGAUCAGUCACACUGGAACUGAGACACGGUCCAGACUCCUACGGGAGGCAGCAGUAGGGAAUAUUGCACAAUGGAGGAAACUCUGAUGCAGCGACGCCGCGUGAGUGAUGAAGGCCUUCGGGUCGUAAAGCUCUGUCGCAGGGGAAUAACACAAUGAAGGUACCCUGUAAGAAAGGAUCGGCUAACUUCGUG
rnacentral:rRNA from 1 species